AGGGUUUGAUUAUGGCUCAGAUUGAACGCUGGCGGCAUGCCUUACACAUGCAAGUCGAACGGCAGCACGGGGGCAACCCUGGUGGCGAGUGGCGAACGGGUGAGUAAUACAUCGGAACGUGUCCUGUAGUGGGGGAUAGCCCGGCGAAAGCCGGAUUAAUACCGCAUACGCUCUGCGGAGGAAAGCGGGGGCUCCUUCGGGACCUCGCGCUACAGGGGCGGCCGAUGGCAGAUUAGCUAGUUGGUGGGGUAAAGGCCUACCAAGGCGACGAUCUGUAGCUGGUCUGAGAGGACGACCAGCCACACUGGGACUGAGACACGGCCCAGACUCCUACGGGAGGCAGCAGUGGGGAAUUUUGGACAAUGGGCGCAAGCCUGAUCCAGCAAUGCCGCGUGUGUGAAGAAGGCCUUCGGGUUGUAAAGCACUUUUGUCCGGAAAGAAAACCUCAGCCCUAAUACGGCGGGGGGAUGACGGUACCGGAAGAAUAAGCACCGGCUAACUACGUGCCAGCAGCCGCGGUAAUACGUAGGGUGCAAGCGUUAAUCGGAAUUACUGGGCGCAAAGCGUGCGCAGGCGGUCCGCUAAGACAGAUGUGAAAUCCCCGGGCUUAACCUGGGAACUGCAUUUGUGACUGGCGGGCUAGAGUAUGGCAGAGGGGGGUAGAAUUCCACGUGUAGCAGUGAAAUGCGUAGAGAUGUGGAGGAAUACCGAUGGCGAAGGCAGCCCCCUGGGCCAAUACUGACGCUCAUGCACGAAAGCGUGGGGAGCAAACAGGAUUAGAUACCCUGGUAGUCCACGCCCUAAACGAUGUCAACUAGUUGUCGGGCCUUCAUUGGCUUGGUAACGUAGCUAACGCGUGAAGUUGACCGCCUGGGGAGUACGGUCGCAAGAUUAAAACUCAAAGGAAUUGACGGGACCCGCACAAGCGGUGGAUGAUGUGGAUUAAUUCG
rnacentral:rRNA from 1 species